rnacentral:rRNA from 1 species
UACGGAGGAUGCAAGCGUUAUCCGGAAUGAUUGGGCGUAAAGGGUCCGCAGGUGGCAGUGUAAGUCUGCUGUCAAAGAAUGAGGCUUAACCUUAUCAAGGCAGUGGAAACUACACAGCUAGAGUACGGUCGGGGUAGAAGGAAUUCCUGGUGUAGCGGUGAAAUGCGUAGAGAUCAGGAAGAACACCGGUGGCGAAAGCGCUCUGCUAGGCCGCAACUGACACUGAGGGACGAAAGCUAGGGGAGCGAAUGGG